rnacentral:misc_RNA from 1 species
AAAGUCGUAACAAGGUUUCCGUAGGUGAACCUGCGGAAGGAUCAUUAUCUUUUGCUAGCAGCACUCCCUAGGCAUAGCCUGUGGGUUUGCUGUAGCAAUAAACCCUUGUCUAUGUAUACCUUUGUCUAUCCUUUGGCAGGCUUAGGUCUGCCAUAGGACCUACACAAUUCUCUCUAUAGUAGCCUAUAAUUCUGAACAUGAUUAAUAUUAUAACUUUCAACAAUGGAUCUCUUGGCUCUG